rnacentral:rRNA from 1 species
UACGUAGGGGGCUAGCGUUGUCCGGAUUUACUGGGCGUAAAGAGCGCGCAGGCGGUCGAUCAAGUCGAGUGUGAAAGCCCCCGGCUCAACUGGGGAGGGUCAUUCGAUACUGAUCGACUCGAAGGCAGGAGAGGGUAGUGGAAUUCCCGGUGUAGUGGUGAAAUGCGUAGAUAUGUCACAGAACACCAAUUGCGAAGGCAGCUUACUAUGGUUUAAUUGACGCUGAGGCACGAAAGGCGUGGGGAUCAAACAGG